CAGGUCCAGCUGUGCUCCAAGAUUAUCUUUCCUUCUAUAGCUCACUAGACCUUCUUAUGCUCACAGGAGUGCCAUCCCUCACUCCAGAGCCAUCCUCAGAAUUCUAAAGCAGAAUUAGAAAAAUCCUUGCUCUACCAGCCUGGGCAACAUAAGGAGAUCCUGCCUCUACAAAAAAUGAAAUGUAGUCCCAGCUACUCAGGAGGCAGAGGUAGGAGGAUCACUGGAGCCCAAGAGUUCGAGGCUACAGUGAGCUAUGAUCGAGCUGUUGCACCCCAGCCUGGGCCACAGAGCGAGACCCGCCUCUAAAGCAAUAAUAAUAGUGAAAAAUUUUUAAAUAAAUAAAAAAGAAAAAUUCUCACUCUUUAGCUAUUGAAUUUUGUGGCGGUGAUUUCUUCAGAAACUGCCUCUUCCCACCCCCACUCCACCCACAGAGAGGAUGAGCUACAUCCGUACAGAGCCUGGCACUCCGGAUGCUGGCGGAAUUGAUUCAGUAGCAUGAGCAGGAAGGUCCAUUUGAAGAGAUCACUCCAAAACAGCGGUUCGCAACAAGGUAGUAAAGCUUGACAGAAUUGUUGUGGGUGAGAUGUGAGCUAAAAAUAUUGAGAACCAGGACCUAGCAGAUUGUCUGCUAAUGGUUCAUGCAGGACAGAAAAAGGAGAGACAAAGGACUGUCAGGAGAGUGACCGGUCCAAAUGAGGACUCAGGAACCCCCAGUGGAUCCAGAGAGAAAAACACUCUGGGGCUUUCUUCCAUGUCCCGUUGGCCAGAGCAGACCCUGGAAAGAAGCCCUCCCCAAGGCGCCUUGUUGACUACGGCCAAGACCUGGCCCAGUGCUGGACACCAGUCUAUGUCAAGAAAGGCACAAAAAGGACCAACAAAUAAUACUGACAUGGUGCUUUGGAUCCAGGAGGCCUUGCGGUACCAGGAGAGGAAUACUGAUGGUCCCAUCUGGAGAAUGGGAAAGGUGAGGCAUUGAGAGGGUGAAAUACUUUCAGGCAUAGUUGAGGGGGUACCAGGAAAUUUAACGGGGAGACUCUAUUUCCUGGGGGCAGGUGGAGAAGGUACACGGCCAUUGAUAGUGAACACAACUCUCAACAAAGAGGUAAUUCCAGCUCUUCGGCCACCACAGUAAAGCAGCCAAGGAUACCCUAAUUGUCCUCAGAGAAGUGAUGAUUCCUUCACAGAGGGAAUCCUACACUCCAAACUCUCUGGGGCCCACCCUUGAGACUGCAUGCAGGGCUGGAGAUUUAGGCAGGAACAGCCUGGGCAGGCACGUAAGGUAGCUCUGCUUCUUAAGGCAUGACUGCUGUCUUCAUGGAGUGGGCCCCACCCUGCAAGGAAGCUUAAUGGAAUAGAACACUGCUGCCAAAGGAAUCCACCCCCUCCAGGGGCUGGGGGCUUCUAUUAAAGCUAAACAGCAUCACCAAACCAACCAAUUUCCUGUGCCGCUUGGUAGAAUAAGGAGGGAGGGGGCAAAGGACAAAAAUCGAACAUUAUCUGCAGAUGAUUGUCUAACUAGAAAAUCCAAGGGACUGAACUGAAAAACUAUCAAAACUGGUGAGAAUUUGGUCAGGUGGCCGAUUAAAAGUCAGGUCUAAAAAAUCAACUGUUUUUUGGAUCAUUUGGGCAUUGCUUGACACCCUGGAGGAGCUGUGUUUUUCUGCGAGGCCUCCGCGCUUUGUGCAGCUUGCCAUAUUUUGAAAGAUGGAGGUGAGCCAGGGUGAUGUUCCCUCAGCAGUAGCAACUCUGUCUCAGACACCAAUGUCGAACAGGUGCCUGGGGCAACUGCUGCAGAAGGGGUGGGGACAACCACCUCUGCCCUCUCCUGGGGGUCUCUCUCACCAGUCCUGAUCAGCCCCUUUCCCCCAAGCUUCUCUAUUCCAGCCCAAGAGACACAUAGGGAAGUCUGGCAAGGGUCAGUGCAGGAGCCAUCAAGGGUGGAUGCGGGCAGAUUGUGCUGUCAUCUCCAAACGAAGUAAGUUUUAAAAACAAAGAGGGCCAGCUGAUAGGUCCCACAUGUCUGUACUGUUGUUGCCUCAUUGGUCAGAAGCCUUGAGAGGCCACCGCGCUGCGCACUGAGCAGGGACUCCCACGAUGGUCAAAGUGGUCCAGGGAGGCCCCACGGGGCUGUGCUUGCCAAUCUGACUAGCGAAGAGUUGCAGUUAUUUGCGGUCCAGGCUGGCGUGUAGCUGGGCUUCCCGCACCAUACGGUCGAAGGAACGUGUGUUGGUCUCCUCCCGCACCUUCUCGCGCACGUGGAAGGAGGCCCGGGCUGUGGAGCGGGAGCUCUCUAGCGCACUGCGCCGUUCCCGCGACAAUUGCUCGCUGCGCUCCAGCUUGCGCCCGAUGGCCUGGAGUAGCUCUCGCCGGCGGCAGUCUUCGUCCCUCUCCACCUUCUCUUUGUUGGCACGCUGGGCUCGUUCCUUCUCCAGCCGGCUCUGGCCCACGCGCCGCGCCUUCUGCUGCACUGCUUCCUCGGCCACCUGCGUCGCGUGCUGCAGCCGUCGCUCCCCCGCCCGGGCC
rnacentral:lncRNA from 1 species